AAGCCCACGUCCAGCUCGCACUGGUCCAGAGGCAGGAACUCGCCUUCUGGGGUCUGACGAGACUGCGGAAGCACACCAAAAGAUCUUGAGCGAUGUGGAGGACAGGAGGGUGUGACAUUUCACAGGAAGACGUCUGUGCCCACAGAUCGCCGGCUCCCCUGCUGAGGAGCGACGUCACGACACGCAUGACAAGCUCCCGUUUCUGAGGUGAACUCACGUUCAUCGACUCUAAAAGUCGAAGG